rnacentral:rRNA from 1 species
UGGGGAAUAUUGGACAAUGGGGGAAACCCUGAUCCAGCAAUGCCGCGUGAGUGAUGAAGGCCUUCGGGUUGUAAAGCUCUUUUGUUAGGGACGAUGAUGACGGUACCUAACGAAUAAGCUCCGGCUAACUUCGUGCCAGCAGCCGCGGUAAUACGAAGGGAGCUAGCGUUGUUCGGAAUUACUGGGCGUAAAGGGCGCGUAGGCGGCUUGAUAAGUUUGAUGUGAAAGCCCUGGGCUUAACCUAGGAAUAGCAUUGAAUACUGUCAGGCUAGAGGCCGAGAGAGGGAAAUGGAAUUGCGAGUGUAGAGGUGAAAUUCGUAGAUAUUCGCAAGAACACCAGUGGCGAAGGCGAUUUCCUGGCUCGGUACUGACGCUAAGGCGCGAAAGCGUGGGGAGCAAACA